CAUUAUUGAUUGUAAACUGUUGCCUUCUGUGCUGGCUCCUGCAAGUGCACGUCGGUGACUUUCAUUCCAAUACCCUUGUGAACCUUUGGCCUCUUGCUAGCUUCCGCUGGCAGAGGAUUCUACAUACAAACUCGAAUGUAAUGAAACUCUUGUUGUGCAUAAGCACUACUAAAUACAACUUUCAACAACGGAUCUCUUGGCUCUCGCAUCGAUGAAGAACGCAGCGAAAUGCGAUAAGUAAUGUGAAUUGCAGAAUUCAGUGAAUCAUCGAAUCUUUGAACGCACCUUGCACCCUUUGGCAUUCUGAAGGGUAUGCUCGUUUGAGUGUCAUUGUACUCUCACACUUCCGAUCUUGCAUUGGGAGCGGUGGACUUGGGUUUGCUGCUUUACCGUAGCUUACCUCAAAUGUGUUAGUGCAGCUCUUGGUUGGACAUAGUACGGCGUGAUAAGUAUCUUCGCCGGUGCCUCGCAAAGAGGGUGGCCGAUCAGGAUGGUGUGCUCCAAACCGUCUUCGGACAAUCUCUGACAACUUGACCUCAAAUCGAGUAAGACUACCCGCUGAACUUAA
rnacentral:rRNA from 1 species